rnacentral:rRNA from 1 species
GAGUUUGAUCAUGGCUCAGAUUGAACGCUGGCGGCAGGCUUAACACAUGCAAGUCGAACGGUAGCAGGAGAAAGCUUGCUUUCUUGCUGACGAGUGGCGGACGGGUGAGUAAUGCUUGGGAAUCUGGCUUAUGGAGGGGGAUAACUACUGGAAACGGUAGCUAAUACCGCGUAAUAUCGAGAGAUUAAAGACUGGGACCUACGGGCCAGUUGCCAUAAGAUGAGCCCAAGUGGGAUUAGGUAGUUGGUGGGGUAAAGGCCUACCAAGCCCGCGAUCUCUAGCUGGUCUGAGAGGAUGACCAGCCACACUGGAACUGAGACACGGUCCAGACUCCUACGGGAGGCAGCAGUGGGGAAUAUUGCACAAUGGGGGGAACCCUGAUGCAGCCAUGCCGCGUGAAUGAAGAAGGCCUUCGGGUUGUAAAGUUCUUUCGGUGGUGACGGAAGGUAUCAACUUUAAUAGAGUUGGUA